UACGGAGGGGGCUAGCGUUGUUCGGAAUUACUGGGCGUAAAGCGCACGUAGGCGGAUUUGUAAGUCAGGGGUGAAAUCCCGGGGCUCAACCUCGGAACUGCCUUUGAUACUGCAAAUCUCGAGUCCGGAAGAGGUGAGUGGAAUUCCUAGUGUAGAAGUGAAAUUCGUAGAUAUUAGGAAGAACACCAGUGGCGAAGGCGGCUCACUGGUCCGGUACUGACGCUGAGGUGCGAAAGCGUGGGGAGCAAACAGG
rnacentral:rRNA from 1 species